rnacentral:rRNA from 1 species
CCUACGGGUGGCAGCAGUGGGGAAUAUUGCACAAUGGGGGAAACCCUGAUGCAGCGACGCCGCGUGAGUGAAGAAGGAAUUCGUUAUGUAAAGCUCUUUCAGCAGGGAAGAAAAUGACGGUACCUGAGUAAGAAGCCCCGGCUAACUACGUGACAGCAGCCGCGGUAAUACGUAGGGGGCCAGCGUUAUCCGGAUUUAAUGGGGGUAAAGGGAGCGUAGGCGGCAGUGCAAGUCUGGCGUGAAAGGCGGGGGCUCAACCCCCGGACUGCUCUGGAAACUGUACGGCUGGAGUGCAGGAGAGGUAAGUGGAAUUCCUGGUGUAGCGGUGAAAUGCGUAGAUAUUAGGAGGAACUCCGGUGGCGAAGGCGGCUUACUGGACUGUAACUGACGUUGAGGCUCGAAAGCGUGGGGAGCAAACAGGAUUAGAUACCCGGGUAGUC